UACGGAGAGUGCAAACGUUGUUCGGAUUCACUGGGCGUAAAGGGCACGUAGGCGGCUCGGCAAAUCGGUUGUGGAAUCUCGACGCUUACCGUCGAAACGGCAGCCGAAAAUACCGGGCUCGAGGGCGUGAGGGGUCACUGGAACUCCUGGUGAAGCGGUGAAAUGCGUAGAUAUCAGGAGGAACGCCGGAGGCGAAAGCGAGUGACUGGCGCGUUCCUGACGCUGAGGUGCGAAAGCCAGGGGAGCAAACGGG
rnacentral:rRNA from 1 species